GGCAAGAUGGCCGAGCGGUUAAGGCGUGUGACUCAAGAAACUAUAAGGUGGCUUGUCCACCAGGUUAUCUUGCCUCAAUAGAGGUUUCUCAUCACGGUAUCGUGGCGUGGGUUCAAGUCCCACUCUUGUCA